AUGCCUCAUGAAUUUAACUUUGCCAAAUUUCGUAGACAACCCCACAAUGAGGAAUUGCCUAAUAAGGAUGAAAUUAUUGGUCUUGCUUCUAUUGCCGUGCCUCCUAAUGAUCCUUUAGAACAAUAUUUGCUUGAUCAUGAAAAUGAUAUGUUUAUGAAUGAAAGAAGGGAAAUAGAUGAAGUAUUCUUUAAACAGGGGCCUAUUCUAAAACACAACUUGCCUGUGGAAAUCCUAGGGGAUCCUCCUCCACCCAAGGGUGAUCCCGUGUUCGAGCUUAAACUAUUACUAGAUACUCUUAAAUAUGCUUAUCUUGAUGAAAAGAAGAUAUAUCCUGUUAUUAUUAGUGCUAACCUUUUAGAGAAGGAGGAAGAGAAAUUAUUGAAAACUCUGAAGAAGCAUCGUGCUGCUAUUGGAUAUACUCUUGAUGAUCUUAAGGGCAUUAGUCCCACUCUGCGUCAACACAAAAUAAAUUUGGAGAAAGAUGCCAAACCGGUUAUUGAUCACCAACGACGGCUAAAUCCUAAGAUGAAAGAAGUGGUAAGUCUUGUCCAUUGUGUCCCUAAGAAGGGAGGUAUUACUGUCGUUCCUAAUGAUAAAGAUGAAUUGAUCCCGCAAAGAAUUAUCACAGGUUAUAGGAUGGUAAUUGAUUUCCGCAAAUUAAAUAAAGCUACUAAAAAAGAUCAUUACCCUUUGCCUUUUAUUGAUCAAAUGCUAGAAAGAUUAUCCAAACAUACACAUUUUUGCUUUCUAGAUGGUUACCCUGGUUUCUCUCAAAUACCUGUGUCAGCUGAGGAUCAAGGAAAAACCACUUUUACUUGCCCUUUCGGUACUUUUGCUUAUAGACGUAUGCCUUUUGGAUUAUGUAAUGCGCCUGCUACCUUUCAAAGAUGCAUGAUGGCUAUAUUCUCUGAUUUUUGUGAAAAGAUUUGUGAGGUUUUCAUAGAUGAUUUCUCCGUUUAUGGAUCCUCUUUUGAUGAUUGCUUGAGCAACCUUGAUCGAGUUUUGCAGAGAUGUGAAGAAACUAAUCUUGUCUUGAAUUUGGAGAAAUGCCACUUUAUGGUUAAUGAAGGUAUUGUCUUGGGGCAUAAAAUUUCUGAAAGAGGUAUUGAAGUUGAUAAAGCUAAAGUUGAUGCUAUUGAAAAGAUGUCGUGUCCUAAGGACAUCAAAGGUAUAAGAAGUUUCCUUGGUCAUGCCAGUUUUUAUAGGAGGUUCAUUAAGGACUUCUCAAAAAUUUCUCGGCCUCUGACUAAUCUAUUACAAAAAGAUAUCCCUUUUGUCUUUGAUGAUGAUUGUGUAGAAGCAUUUGAAAUACUUAAGAAAGCUUUGAUUUCUGCAUCUAUCGUUCAGCCACCUGAUUGGAAUUUACCCUUCGAAAUUAUGUGUGAUGCUAGUGAUUAUGCUGUAGGUGCUGUUCUAGGACAAAGAGUUGAUAAGAAGCUAAAUGUUAUUCAAUAUGCUAGUAAAACUCUAGACAGUGCCCAGAGAAAUUAUGCUACUACUGAAAAAGAAUUCUUAGCAGUUGUAUUUGCUUGUGAUAAGUUCAGACCUUAUAUUGUUGAUUCUAAAGUAACUAUUCACACUGAUCAUGCUGCUAUUAAAUAUCUUAUGGAAAAGAAAGAUGCUAAACCUAUACUUAUUAGAUGGGUUCUCUUGCUACAAGAAUUUGAUUUACAUAUUAUUGAUACAAAGGGAGCUGAGAACCCAGUUGCAGACAACUUGUCUAGGUUAGAGAAUGUUCUUGAUGACCCACUACCUAUUGAUGAUAGCUUUCCUGAUGAACAAUUAGCUGUCACAAAUGCUUCUCGUACUACUCCAUGGUAUGCUGACUAUGCCAAUUACAUUGUUGCUAAAUUUAUACCACCUAGUUUCACAUACCAGCAAAAGAAAAGGUUUUUCUAUGAUUUAAGACAUUACUUCUGGGAUGACCCACAUCUUUAUAAAGAAGGAGUAGGUGGUGUUAUUAGACGUUGUGUACCUGAGCAUGAACAGGAACAGAUCCUACGCAAGUGUCACUCCGAGGCUUAUGGAGGGCACCACGCUGGAGACAGAACUGCACAUAAGGCAUUGCAAUCUGGUUUUUAUUGGCCUACUCUCUUCAAGGAUGCUCGUAAGUUUGUCGUAUCUUAUGAUGAAUGUCAAAGAAUUGGUAAUAUCAGUAGACGUCAGGAAAUGCCUAUGAAUUAUUCACUUGUUAUUGAACCAUUUGAUGUUUGGGGCUUUGAUUAUAUGGGACCGUUUCCUUCCUCUAAUGGGUAUACACAUAUUUUAGUUGCUGUUGAUUACGUUACUAAGUGGGUAGAAGCUAUUCCAACUAGUAGUGCCGAUCACAACACCUCUAUUAAGAUGCUUAAAGAAGUUAUUUUUCCGAGGUUUGGAGUCCCUAGAUAUUUAAUGACUGAUGGCGGUUCACAUUUUAUUCAUGGUGCUUUCCAUAAAAUGCUUGCUAAGUAUGACGUUAAUCAUAGAAUUGCAUCUCCUUAUCACCCACAGUCUAGUGGUCAACUAGAAUUGAGUAAUAGAGAGGUCAAAUUAAUUUUGCAAAAGACUGUUAAUAGAUCUAGGAAGAAUUGGUCUAAGAAACUUGAUGAUGCAUUAUGGGCCUAUAGAACUGCAUAUAAAAAUCCUAUGGGUAUGUCUCCGUAUAAAAUGGUUUAUGGAAAAGCAUGUCACUCCCCUCUCGAACUAGAACAUAAGGCAUAUUGA
rnacentral:rRNA from 1 species